CCUACGGGUGGCAGCAGUGGGGAAUAUUGCGCAAUGGGCGAAAGCCUGACGCAGCGACGCCGCGUGAGGGAUGAAGGUCUUCGGAUCGUAAACCUCUGUCAGCAGGGAAGAACGGUCACUGUGCUAAUCAGCAGUGAAUUGACGGUACCUGCAAAGGACGCACCGGCUAACUCCGUGCCAGCAGCCGCGGUAAUACGGAGGGUGCGUGCGUUAAUCGGAAUUACUGGGCGUAAAGCGCUCGUAGGCGGUAUGGCAAGUCAAGGGUGAAAGCCCCGCGCUCAACGUGGGGACUGCCUUUGAAACUGGGAGACUGGAGUGUGGGAGAGGAUAGUGGAAUUCCAGGUGUAGGAGUGAAAUCCGUAGAUAUCGGGAGGAACAUCAGUGGCGAAGGCGAGUAUCUGGCACAUAACUGACGCUGAGGAGCGAAAGCGUGGGUAGCAAACAGGAUUAGAUACCCCAGUAGUC
rnacentral:rRNA from 1 species